UACGUAGGGGGCAAGCGUUGUCCGGAUUUACUGGGCGUAAAGAGCGCGUAGGUGGAAGCGCUAGUCCGGCCUGAAAGCCCCCGGCUCAACCGGGGAGAGUGGCUGGAAACUGCGUUUCUUGAGGGCGAGAGAGGAGGGUGGAAUUCCUGGUGUAGCGGUGAAAUGCGUAGAGAUCAGGAGGAACACCAAUUGCGAAGGCAGCUCGCUGGGACGUAACUGACGCUGAGACGCGAAAGCGUGGGGAGCAAACAGG
rnacentral:rRNA from 1 species